UUUCAAUCAGUGUGAAAAGAAAUAUUUACACUCAAAAUGUGUGAAGUUUCCUAUAAAAAUAGAAUACAAACAUUUCAUCGAAAGCAACAAGAGAAACUUGGAAAGAAGUAAAAUAUGAAAUUUCAUCAGGUUUAUCUGGUAUAACAAAUGUACUCUGAGACAGGUUCAGCAAUGCAUCAGCUAAAUUCCAGAUUCCUCCAGUAGUUUGAGGAUACUGUGUUCAGGUGCACUUAUUGACGGAAGAAUAACCCGAUUCAUCGAUGGUCUAGGUUUCGUUCCAGCAGACUCAGGCGCUGCAGUUGUUCCUUCCUGCAUAACAGGAAUAUCAGCCCUUCUUCGCACUGCAGACACUCGCUCUUUCCAUAUUCUCCCAUCAUUCAAUAUUGAAGGUUCUGGUAACGGACAUAGAAUUGGCCGAUCAUUAUGUAGAGGCUCAGUCGGGUGUUCAACUGGUUUGAACUCAACUGCAAUUUCAAUACCAUGAGGGUUGAUAGAAGAAGCUCCAGCUAAAGUAACAGCACCUAUUGUCUCUGUAUUAGGGGGCAACACUUCUGUUUCAUCAAGUGCACUUUGAGCUCGACGAUGCCCAGUUCUG
rnacentral:misc_RNA from 1 species